rnacentral:rRNA from 1 species
GAUGAACGUUGGCGGCGUGCCUAAUACAUGCAAGUCGAACGAAGACUGUAGUAAUACUGUCUUAGUGGCGAACGGGUGAGUAACGCGUGGGUGACCUGCCCCGAAGUGUGGGAUAACAGUCCGAAAGGAUUGCUAAUACUGCAUAAUAUCCAAGAGAUUAGAUGCUUUUGGAUUAAAGGAGUAAUUCGCUUCGGGAGGGGCCCGCGUCCCAUCAGCUAGUUGGUAAGGUAAUGGCUUACCAAGGCGAUGACGGGUAGGGGACCUGAGAGGGUGGCCCCCCACAAUGGAACUGAAACACGGUCCAUACACCUACGGGUGGCAGCAGUAGGGAAUAUUAGUAAUGGGCGAAAGCCUGAACUAGCAACGCCGCGUGUGCGAAGAAGGCCUUCGGGUUGUAAAGCACUUUUUGUAGUAGGAUGAGGAAGGACGGUACUCUCAGAAUAAGUACUCGGCUAACUACGUG